UACGGGGGGGGCAAGCGUUGUUCGGAAUUACUGGGCGUAAAGGGCUCGUAGGCGGCCAACUAAGUCGGAUGUGAAAUCCCCAGGCUUAACCUGGGAACUGCAUCCGAUACUGGAUGGCUUGAAUUCGGGAGAGGGAUGUGGAAUUCCAGGUGUAGCGGUGAAAUGCGUAGAUAUCUGGAGGAACACCGGUGGCGAAGGCGGCAUCCUGGACCGGUAUUGACGCUGAGGCGCGAAAGCUAGGGGAGCAAACGGG
rnacentral:rRNA from 1 species